CGGCUCACGGCCGCUCCCCCCAGAGGGCGGAAACCUCCCCUGCUUCCCUUCUGGGUGCUCCCGCUGGUCUAAUGGUUAAACUGACGUCACCCACGAGUGGGGGAGAAACAAACAUUUAGCUUAACGACACGUGGGAGACGUGCGGAGAAAGCAGGUGGGGCUCCCAGAGGGGCGGCCGUCGCCCUCAUGCAGGUUGCGGCCAAGAGCGGGUGUGGGGUGGGGGGGUCCCCAGGGCGGCGGCCCGGGAGAGCACAGCGGGCGGGGCAGGGUGCAUGCGCCAGUCCUUGGCCACUGCACUGGACACCGGGGGAUCCCCGUCCUGGUCCCCAGAGGGAGGCACCUUAGGAACAGGUCUCCCCGUGAACGUCGACGCCUCUUCAGAGCUUCUCUGGUCUCUGCCAGUCUUGAAAAGCACAAGCAGGGCCGCCUGUGAUUUGCGUUCCCUGAUGGCUCACGACGGCACCUCUUCAUGGUUAGUGCCCCCCGUGCAUGUCUUCUUUGGACAAGUGUCGCAUUCGGGUCCUUUGUCUGUUUUUAAUUGGAUUAUUUGUCCGUGUUUUAAAUCCAGUUGUAAGUGUUUUUUAUAUUUUCUAGAUGUAAGGCCCUCCUGGGACACGUGAUGUACCCGUGCUUUCUCCCGGCCUGCGGGCCAUUUCCUCACUUCCUCCUUGCAGUUCUUUGAAGCACCAGCUGUUUAAUCCUGAUGAAGUUCUGUUUAGAUAUUGAUUGUCGCUCAUGCUUUUGCUGUCGUAUAUAAGAAACCACUGCCUGAGCCAAAGUCGUCAAGGUGACACUACCUGGUUUUUGUUUGAAAUCAUUUUGUCAAAAAAAAAAAAAAAAAAGAAAUCAUUUUGUCAUUUCGAAAAGUGUUUGCGGUACGGGCGCCUGGCUGGGUGGGUUGGGCGGAGCACGCGACUUCUGAUCGCAGGGUUGCGAGUUCGAGCCCCACGUCGGGUGUAGAGAAUACCACUAUUAUUAAAAAUAAAACCUUAAAGGGGCACCUGGGGGGCUCA
rnacentral:lncRNA from 1 species